rnacentral:rRNA from 1 species
CGUGAGUAACACGUGAGCAACCUGCCUUAUACACAGGGAUAACAGUUGGAAACGACUGCUAAUACCGGAUAAGACCACACUAUGGCAUCAUAGAGGGGUCAAAGCGAAUAAGCGGUAUAAGAUGGGCUCGCGUCCAAUUAGCUAGUUGGUGAGGUAACGGCCCACCAAGGCGACGAUUGGUAGCCGACUUGAGAGAGUGAUCGGCCACACUGGAACUGAGACACGGUCCAGACUCCUACGGGAGGCAGCAGUGGGGAAUAUUGGGCAAUGGAGGAAACUCUUACCCAAGCAAUGCCGCGUGAGUGAUGAAGGUCUUUGGAUUGUAAAGCUCUUUGAUUGGGGACGAAUAAAUGACGGUACCCAAAGAACAAGCCCCGGCUAACUAUGUGCCAGCCGCAGC